CGAGCGUCUUCCGAUCGAGGACCUCCCAGUCUUCAUCGGACAUCUUCUCUGGUUUCUUUGCUCUACCUCCAAGAGGUAAAUAGAGAUCCUUCUGGUAAAGGUAAUCUUCUAUUUGCAUCUUCCAAAAUCCGAAGUUCGUGCCAUUGAACUUCUCCAUUCGCACCUUCCCUUCAUCCGCCAUCGCAGAAAACCAAUAGCUCUGAUACCAAUUGUUGUCGGAGCCCACGCCGGAACCCACUCACACCAGCGCCGCCACCGACGUCGGACAAGCAAGAGAGAUACAAACGGAUAAGCACUCUCUCGCUCCCUCGACUCCGGACUCAAGGAUCACCUCUUCGCUCCGCCUACGAAGGGCAAAAGAUUACCCCGUGGUAUCAGUAGGGUAAAACAUUGAGCACCGCAACGGAUUAUCAAAGAUCAAAGGAAGAAGAAGGAAGAAAAUGUUAGAUGUAUGCCCUAGAAGCCAAUUUGGCUGACACAUUGUUGAUUCUAGGGACAUAAUUUUGUACUUGAC
rnacentral:lncRNA from 1 species